GAAAGUUAUUAGAAAUGCUUCUCUCUGAAGCAGUAAGAGAAACCGAUACAACGGAACCAGGGGAAAGGGAAGAAGCAACCAUGGAAGACUCUGAAAGCCAAAUUUUACAUCCUCUUGACUCAGAAACAACAUCAGUGACUCGACCAAUGAAAGCAAAUUUCCCAAUCAUAAAAGGAAAUCUGGUUGAUGCUUGUUCUAGAGAGAGGAUGAGAUCCUGCUCAUGAAUUUCUAAAUCAGUAGAAGAAAUCAACGAUGGUGCUCCAGGGGACAAAGAUUGGCCAAAAUUUGAAAGCCUCGAAACUGUCUUUGAAUGCUUC
rnacentral:misc_RNA from 1 species